rnacentral:rRNA from 1 species
GAUGAACGCUGGCGGCGUGCCUAAUACAUGCAAGUCGAGCGAACAGACGAGGAGCUUGCUCCUCUGACGUUAGCGGCGGACGGGUGAGUAACACGUGGAUAACCUACCUAUAAGACCGGGAUAACUUCGGGAAACCGGAGCUAAUACCGGAUAACAUGUUGAACCGCAUGGUUCAACAGUGAAAGACGGUCUUGCUGUCGCUUAUAGAUGGAUCCGCGCCGCAUUAGCUAGUUGGUAAGGUAACGGCUUACCAAGGCAACGAUGCGUAGCCGACCUGAGAGGGUGAUCGGCCACACUGGAACUGAGACACGGUCCAGACUCCUACGGGAGGCAGCAGUAGGGAAUCUUCCGCAAUGGGCGAAAGCCUGACGGAGCAACGCCGCGUGAGUGAAGAAGGUCUUCGGAUCGUAAAACUCUGUUAUUAGGGAAGAACAAAUGUGUAAGUAACUAUGCACGUCUUGACGGUACCUAAUCAGAAAGCCACGGCUAACUACGUG